AUUCACGCAGCAAACGCAGCAUGUUUGGUUUGGCUCUGUCGGCGGUGAAUAUUAAGCACAAUACGGAUCUGCUUGUUCGUUGGAAUAUAACGCCAGUAGGAUUGUGAAGUGUUGCCUCUAACAGACGAACAGUUUUCACACCUACAACGCAUUUGGAACACUGGCGUCUUAACAUCGCAUGCGGGAUUUUAUGAGGUAUUUGGAAUACAUUUUAAAAGAACCAGUCUUUAUAUUAAAUGGCUCAAAGUUUACUGUAUAUAAUGAAUUGUUUUUAAUGAAUUGUGAAUUGAAUGUUUACUGUGUACAAUGAAUUGUGAAAUGGCUACAAUGAAUUGUGAUUUGAAUAUUUACUGUGUAUAAUGAUUAUAGCUCUUUGUCCUUUGGUUCUAGGAACACUGUAUAUCACUGUUUUUCCCAUAGCUAAUUUAUGAUGAGACAAGCACUUGAAUUGAGCUACUAGCCUGCAUAGUGUUGCUGUAAAACCACCUUCCGUUUACUUGUUUGUUGUCUUGGCGAGUUUUAUUUUCUUUCUGUUUUAUUCCUUUGGGUCAGUCGUAGCUGGGGCUAUCAUAGAGGGGAGUCCUUAUCCGCUUGCAACUUGUGUGUGCUGUGCAACGCCCGCUACUAGGGGCCGUAGUGGGAAGUGUGUGAUUUGUGGUGUAGUGGAUAGCCAUUGUGACUUGCCGUUGGUGUGGUGUGUAGUGGUCUAGUAUCAAGAUUGGCUACUUGAUACAAACCCUUUAGUUAGUCUUACCUCUAGGGUGGGCUUUAGCCGCGACUGACCUACUCUUACCCUCGCCCUUAAAUGUCUGCCCUGAACAGGGCUGUACUUCUUUCCUUUUAUGAUUUGGAUUAUCAGUGAAUACCAUACCGUCAUUAUCAAUUAUAGGCAUUUGUCUAGUCUCAUUUACACUGUCUGCCUUGUGUACAUAAACCAUCACUUACUUAUUAAAGAUAUAUUUAUUGUG